AUUGAACGCUGGCGGCAGGCCUAACACAUGCAAGUCGAACGGGUGGCGGACGGGUGAGUAAUGUGCGGGAAACUGCCUGAUGGAGGGGGAAAACUACUGGAGACGGUAUAUUAUAGCGCAUCCCCUCAGGUGUGCCCAGAUGGGCUUAGCUGGUUGGUGGGGUAACGGCUCACCAAGGCGACGAUCCCUAGCGGGUCUGAGAGGAUGACCAGCCACACUGGAACUGAGACACGGUCCAGACUCCUACGGGAGGCAGAAGUGGGGAAGAGUGCACAAUGGGCGCAAGCCUGAUGCAGCCAUGCCGGGUGUAUGAAGAAGGCCGUCGGGUUGUAAAGGACUUGCAGCGGGGAGGCGUUACCCGCAGAAGAAGCACCGGCUAACUCCGUGCCAGCAGCCGCGGUAAUAC
rnacentral:rRNA from 1 species